rnacentral:rRNA from 1 species
UGGGGAAUAUUGGACAAUGGGCGCAAGCCUGAUCCAGCCAUGCCGCGUGGGUGAUGAAGGCCCUAGGGUUGUAAAGCCCUUUCGGCGGGGAAGAUAAUGACGGUACCCGCAGAAGAAGCCCCGGCUAACUUCGUGCCAGCAGCCGCGGUAAUACGAAGGGGGCUAGCGUUGCUCGGAAUCACUGGGCGUAAAGCGCACGUAGGCGGCUUCUUAAGUCGGUGGUGAAAUCCUGGAGCUCAACUCCAGAACUGCCUUCGAUACUGAGAGGCUCGAGUCCGGGAGAGGUGAGUGGAACUGCGAGUGUAGAGGUGAAAUUCGUAGAUAUUCGCAAGAACACCAGUGGCGAAGGCGGCUCACUGGCCCCGGUACUGACGCUGAGGUGCGAAAGCGUGGGGAGCAAACAGGAUUAGAUACCCUCGUAGUCCCUGAGCGGGCUGGCAAGGCGCAU